GCUUCUCUUGAGAGCGGCGGACGGGUGAGUAAUGCCUAGGAAUCUGCCUGGUAGUGGGGGAUAACGUCCGGAAACGGACGCUAAUACCGCAUACGUCCUACGGGAGAAAGCAGGGGACCUUCGGGCCUUGCGCUAUCACAUGAGCCUAGGUCGGAUUAGCUAGUUGGUGGGGUAAUGGCUCACCAAGGCGACGAUCCGUAACUGGUCUGAGAGGAUGAUCAGUCACACUGGAACUGAGACACGGUCCAGACUCCUACGGGAGGCAGCAGUGGGGAAUAUUGGACAAUGGGCGAAAGCCUGAUCCAGCCAUGCCGCGUGUGUGAAGAAGGUCUUCGGAUUGUAAAGCACUUUAAGUUGGGAGGAAGGGCAGUAAAUUAAUACUUUGCUGUUUUGACGUUACCGACUCAAUAAGCACCGGCUAACUCUGUGCCAGCAGCCGCGGUAAUACAGAGGGUGCAAGCGUUAAUCGGAAUUACUGGGCGUAAAGCGCGCGUAGGUGGUUCGUUAAGUUGGAUGUGAAAUCCCCGGGCUCAACCUG
rnacentral:rRNA from 1 species